rnacentral:rRNA from 1 species
AACUUUCAACAACGGAUCUCUUGGUUCUGGCAUCGAUGAAGAACGCAGCGAAAUGCGAUAAGUAGUGUGAAUUGCAGAAUUCAGUGAAUCAUCGAAUCUUUGAACGCACAUUGCGCCCCUCGGUAUCCCGGGGGGCAUGCCUGUUCGAGCGUCAUUUCA